GACGAACGCUGGCGGCGUGCUUAAUACAUGCAAGUCGAACGCAGUGGCGAACGGGUGAGUAACGCGUAAUCACCCUGCCCUCCAGAGGGGGACAACAGUUGGAAACGACUACUCAUACCGCAUACUGAAGGUGGGGCUUGCGUCUGAUUAGCUAGUUGGAGGGGUAACGGCCCACCUAGGCGACGAUACAUAGCUGGCCGUAGAGGAUGACCAGCCACACGGGAACUGAGACACGGUCCAGACUCCUACGGGAGGCAGCAGUAGGGAAUAUUGCACAAUGGGCGCAAGCCUGAGGCAGCAAUGCCGCGUGUAUGAAGAAGGCCUUCGGGUUGUAAAGUACUUUCAGCGGGGAGCGGUACCCGCAGAAAAAGCACCGGCUAACUACGUGCCAGCAGCCGCGGUAAUAC
rnacentral:rRNA from 1 species